UAGAUUUAUUUUUACGUCGGUCCCGGGACAUGCAUGCAUUAAUUUUUUUGUUUCUAUAUUUUAUACUAACUUAUUUUCAAGUGUUUUUAAUUUGUAGGUAAAGCUUAUGUGGAGACGAGGGGAUCCGCAAAGAUCCUUCGAUCUCGAUUUCAAAUCCAAGGUAAGUGAUUUUAAUACUAUUUUUUUGUUUCCUAUACAUAUAUACUAAUAUCUAUUUUAAAUCUUUUUAGAUACAUACGAGAGGGAGUGGCCGGAUG